UACGGGGGGGAGCAAGCGUUGUUCGGAUUUACUGGGCGUAAAGGGCGCGUAGGCGGUCAGCACAAGUCAGUUGUGAAAUCUCCGGGCUUAACUCGGAAAGGUCAACUGAUACUGUGCGACUAGAGUGCAGAAGGGGCAACUGGAAUUCUCGGUGUAGCGGUGAAAUGCGUAGAUAUCGAGAGGAACACCUGCGGCGAAGGCGGGUUGCUGGGCUGACACGUGACGCUGAGGCGCGAAAGCGUGGGGAGCAAACAGG
rnacentral:rRNA from 1 species